GACGAACGCUGGCGGCGUGCCUAACACAUGCAAGUCGAACGAAAAGAGGGAAAGAGCUUGCUCUUUCCGGGAUUGAGUGGCAAACGGGUGAGUAACACAUAAACAACCUGCCUUCAGGAUGGGGACAACAGACGGAAACGAUUGCGAAUACCGAAUAAGGUCCAAGAGCCGCAUGGCCCAGGGAAGAAAAGGUGGCCUUUACCUGUAAGCGAUCGCCUGAAGAGGGGUUUGCGGCUGUUUAGCGGGGUGGAGGGGUAACGGCCCACCAAGGCGACGAUCAGUAGCGGUCCUGAGAGGUGGACGGGCCACCUGGGGACGGGGCCACGGCCAAGACUCUUACGGGAGGAGGCAGUGGGGAACUUUCGACAAGGGGGGAAGGCUGAAGGAAGAAAGCCGGGUUGGGGGUGGAAGGCCUCGGGUUGGUAAAGUCCGUGUGCCGGGACGGAAAGGCAUGGUGCGAAGAAGGACCGGGAUUGACGGUACCGGAAGAACAAGCAACGGCUAACUACGUG
rnacentral:rRNA from 1 species